UCCCUGGUGGUCCAGUGGUUAGGACUUGGCGCUUUCACUGCUGAGGGCCCAAGUUUGAUCCCUGGUUAGGGAA
rnacentral:tRNA from 1 species